CCUGGCUCAGAAUACAACGCUGGCGGCGUGCCUCAGACAUGCAAGUCGAACGAUUAAAGCUCUCUUCGGAGAGUGUAUAGAGUGGCGCACGGGUGAGUAACACGUAAGUAAUCUACCCUCGAGUGGGGAAUAGCAUCGGGAAACCGAUGCUAAUACCGCAUAACGCAGCGGCACCGCACGGUGACAGUUGUUAAGGGAGUAAUUCGCUUGAGGAGGAGCUUGCGGCAGAUUAGCUAGUUGGUAAGGUAACGGCUUACCAAGGCUACGAUCUGUAUCCGGUCUAAGAGGACGGUCGGACACACUGACACUGAAUAACGGGUCAGACUCCUACGGGAGGCAGCAGUCGGGAAUUUUGGGCAAUGGGCGAAAGCCUGACCCAGCAACGCCGCGUGAAGGAUGAAGUAUUUCGGUAUGUAAACUUCGAAAGAAUGGGAAGAAUAAAUGACGGUACCAUUUAUAAGCUCCGGCUAACUACGUGCCAGCAGCCGCGGUAAUACGUAGGGAGCAAGCGUUGUUCGGAUUUACUGGGCGUAAAGGGCGCGUAGGCGGCGCGGUAAGUCACUUGUGAAAUCUCUGAGCUUAACUCAGACGGCCAAGUGAUACUGCAGUGCUAGAGUGCAGAAGGGCAAUCGGAAUUCUUGGUGUAGCGGGUGAAUGCGUAGAUAUC
rnacentral:rRNA from 1 species